UACGGAGGAUCCGAGCGUUAUCCGGAUUUAUUGGGUUUAAAGGGUGCGCAGGUUGUUUGAUAAGUCAGUGGUGAAAGUCUGUCGCUUAACGGUAGGAUUGCCAUUGAUACUGUUGGACUUGAAUAUGGAUGAGGUAGGCGGAAUGUGUAGUGUAGCGGUGAAAUGCAUAGAUAUCACGAGGAACUCCGAUUGCGCAGGCAGCUUACUAAACCAUAACUGACGCUCAGGCACGAAGGCGUGGGGAUCAAACAGGAUUA
rnacentral:rRNA from 1 species